GCGCAGCAGUCGAGAAUUUUUCUCAAUGGGGGAAACCCUGAAGGAGCGACGCCGCGUGGAGGAUGAAGGUCUUCGGGUUGUAAACUCCUGUCAUUUGGGAACAAGGUGCACGUGGUUACUGCGCGUGUAUUGAUAGUACCAGAAGAGGAAGAGACGGCUAACUCUGUGCCAGCAGCCGCGGUAAUACAGAGGUCUCAAGCGUUGUUCGGAUUCAUUGGGCGUAAAGGGUGCGUAGGUGGCGCCGUUAGUCAGGUGUGAAAUCGUCGGGGCUUAACUCCGAAACUGCAUUUGAUACUGCGGUGCUUGAGGACUGGAGAGGAGACUGGAAUUCAUGGUGUAGCAGUGAAAUGCGUAGAGAUCAUGAGGAAGACCAGUGGCGAAGGCGGGUCUCUGGACAGUUCCUGACACUGAGGCACGAAGGCCAGGGGAGCGAAACGGGAUUAGACUACCCCCGUAGU
rnacentral:rRNA from 1 species